CCUCAAUACCCAUCACCCACCCACCCUUCCCUCCCACCCCCCAUAAACCCUCAGUUUGUUCUCAGUUUUUAGGAGUCUCUUAUGUUGUGGCUCCCUCCCUCUCUAACCUUUUUUUUUUUCUUCCCCUCCCCCAUGGUCUUCUGUUAAGUUUAGGUCUCCCUCCCCACAACUUGAUCAGCCACUGGGUUCAGACUGUCCUGGAGAAGGGGGUGUGACUUCCGGUGAAGCAACUCUCUCCUCAGCUGAAAUCUGUUCCCAGAGGGGACUCAGCUGACUGCUGACAGCCAUGAACCCUCUUAGCAUCUGAGGGGCUUAAUGUGUCAGUCCCGGAAGAGCGAGCUGGGGAGAGUGCCACAGAUUCCACUACAGUGACCAGAAGAGUCGAUUCAAAUAGGAAAAGGUUUGAUCUUCUCUUCCUUGGCCUGUAGCCACCCCUGCCUCUCACAUGCUUUUGAGGUCUUGGACCGGCGUGCUCAGCCUGAUCAGCCAGAAGUGUCCCGCCAGCAUUGUCUAUUUCCAGCUUUGCACAACAUCUCACGAGAAUCCACUUUAUUUGGGCAGGUGGUGCUAUAGUCCUGCUGGCUGGUUUACAUGAACCUCCAGAGAACGACCCCCCAGAAGACCACCGGCGGCUUCUGAGAGCACCUGUCUGCCCAUUGCCUCACCAACACAGCAGAUGGUCGGACUGGGGAGUUUCUGCCAAUUGGAUGGGUAAGAAAUUGUAUCUCGGUAUAAUUUUAACUUGUUUUUCUCCUCUGAGUGAGGUGCAUUAUCUCUUCAUAUUUAAGGGUCAUCUGCAUUUAUGCUUCUGUGGUCUGUUCCUAUUUUUUCCCCAUUUUUUUCUCAUCCUGACGUCGAUUAUUUUC
rnacentral:lncRNA from 1 species